UACAGAGGUCCCGAGCGUUGUUCGGAUUCAUUGGGCGUAAAGCGCACGUAGGCGGCUUUGCAAGUCGGAUGUGAAAUCCCACGGCUCAACCAUGGAAGUGCAUCCGAAACUGCAGAGCUUGAGUACUUAAGAGGAUCGCGGAAUUCCCGGUGUAGAGGUGAAAUUCGUAGAUAUCGGGAGGAACACCAGUGGCGAAGGCGGCGAACUGGGAAGAUACUGGAGCUGAGGUGCCAAAGCGGGGGGAGCAAACAGG
rnacentral:rRNA from 1 species